rnacentral:rRNA from 1 species
AGCCGGCGAGUCCUCAACUGACGCUAAUGCUCGAAAGUGCGGGUAUCGAACAGGAUUAGAUACCCUGGUAGUCCGCACGGUAAACGAUGGAUGCCCGCUGUUGGCGAUAUAUUGUCAGCGGCCAAGCGAAAGCGUUAAGCAUCCCACCUGGGGAGUACGCCGGCAACGGUGAAACUCAAAGGAAUUGACGGGGGCCCGCACAAGCGGAGGAACAUGUGGUUUAAUUCGAUGAUACGCGAGGAACCUUACCCGGGCUUGAACUGCAGCAGAACGAUAGAGAGAUCUUGAGGCCCUUCGGGGCUGCUGUGGAGGUGCUGCAUGGUUGUCGUCAGCUCGUGCCGUGGGGUGUCGGCUUAAGUGCCAUAACGAGCGCAACCCCUUCCGUCAGUUGCCAUCACUUUGGGUGGGCACUCUGGCGGUACUGCCACCGUAAGGUGUGAGGAAGGUGGGGAUGACGUCAAAUCAGCACGGCCCUUACGUCCGGGGCUACACACGUGUUACAAUGGGUGGUACAGAGAGUCAACCGCCGGCAACGUCGGUUUAAUCAAUAAAGCCAUCCUCAGUUCGGAUUGGGGUCUGCAACCCGACCCCAUGAAGCUG